rnacentral:rRNA from 1 species
UACACUCCUGCGGAAGGCAGCAGUGGGGAAUAUUGGACAAUGGGCGCAAGCCUGAUCCAGCCAUGCCGCGUGAGUGAUGAAGGCCCUAGGGUUGUAAAGCUCUUUCACCGGUGAAGAUAAUGACGGUAACCGGAGAAGAAGCCCCGGCUAACUUCGUGCCAGCAGCCGCGGUAAUACGAAGGGGGCUAGCGUUGUUCGGAUUUACUGGGCGUAAAGCGCACGUAGGCGGACUAUUAAGUCAGGGGUGAAAUCCCGGGGCUCAACCCCGGAACUGCCUUUGAUACUGGUAGUCUUGAGUUCGAGAGAGGUGAGUGGAAUUCCGAGUGUAGAGGUGAAAUUCGUAGAUAUUCGGAGGAACACCAGUGGCGAAGGCGGCUCACUGGCUCGAUACUGACGCUGAGGUGCGAAAGCGUGGGGAGCAAACAGGAUUAGAAACCCGAGUAGUCCCAUGAU